CCCUUAGAUGUUCUGGGCUGCACGCGCGCUACACUGAAGCGUUCAACGAGUAUUUCACCUUGCCCGGGAGGGUUGGGUAAUCUUUUUAAAACGCUUCGUGAUGGGGAUAGAUUAUUGCAAUUAUUAAUCUUCAACGAGGAAUUCCUAGUAAGCGCGAGUCAUCAGCUCGUGCUGAUUACGUCCCUGCCCUUUGUACACACCGCCCGUCGCUCCUACCGAUUGAGUGGUCCGGUGAGGCUUUGGGAUCUGAGCGGAAAGAGCGUUUCGCUGUUUCUGCUCGGAAAACUCAGUCGAACCUUAUCAUUUAGAGGAAGGAGAAGUCGUAACA
rnacentral:rRNA from 1 species